GUUUGAUUAACUUUACCUUGAACUCAAAUUUUUUGGUAUAAUGUAGAAGAAAAAAAUCCUGAAGAGGAUUUAACACAUUGGGCUGUGCAACUAUCCCUAUUAUAUUCUCUAGAGUGCCCAGUAUAUGUCAUCUCAGGCAUUGAGAAAUACCGCAGUGAGGAUGAUUUAUGGGGUUAUCACUGCCCAGAGAUUGAAAAAAAUUAAGGGAAUUUGUAAAGAUACCUGUUGAACCAUGAGAUUAAAAAAA
rnacentral:lncRNA from 10 species